CGAAGGUGGCAAGCGUUGUUCGGAUUUACUGGGCGUACAGGGAGCGUAGGCGGUUGGAUAAGCCCUCCGUGAAAUCUCCAGGCUUAACCUGGAGAGUGCAGAGGGGACUGUUCAGCUAGAGGAUGGGAGAGGAGCGCGGAAUUCCCGGUGUAGCGGUGAAAUGCGUAGAGAUCGGGAGGAAGGCCGGUGGCGAAGGCGGCGCUCUGGAACAUUUCUGACGCUGAGGCUCGAAAGCGUGGGGAGCAAACAGGAUUAGAUACCCUGGUAGUCCACGCCUUAAACGAUGGAUACUAAGUGUCGGCGGGUUACCGCCGGUGCCGCAGCUAACGCAGUAAGUAUCCCGCCUGGGAAGUACGGCCGCAAGGUUG
rnacentral:rRNA from 1 species